rnacentral:lncRNA from 1 species
GGGGCCUCGCCGGGCGGCGGGCCGGGGCGGGGCCCGGGCCGGGGCCGAGCGCGCGCGGAGCGGCGCAGCGCGAGCGGCGGGGCGAGCGGGGCCUGCGGAGGCCGAGCCCGGAGGGAGGGACCGUACGGCUUCGGUGCGAGCAACACCGCGGCGCUCCCGCUGCCGCCGGCGGGGGAGCCGGGCAAGAUGCAGCCAGGUAGGCAGGGCUGCAGGGGUCGCCCCCGAGGCCUCGCUCACGGCGCUGGGGUCGCCCCCCAGCAGCGCUCUCCGCGCGGGCGCGUCAACGUGAAAAAGCCCUUCUGCCUUGGAGCCCUCUUUCCACAGGGUUUCUACUAGGAAACCGCUCAGCUGGGCCCUGCAGGGGCCGACGAAUGGUGAGAGUCACCUGGCUUUUAAGGCAUUUCAGAGACACCUACCCGUAGUCCCGCUCCUCAUCCAACCGGUAUCUGUCGAUCGUUGUCUGUCGGUGUUCGGUCUUGCAUUAGCAUGGUUUGCAAGUGGUGCCAUGUCCACACCUGGGAUCCAAACCGGCGAACCCUGGGCUGCUGAAGCGGAACGUGUGAACUUAACCGCUGAGCCACUGGGCCAUCCCCUAGUUAAGUUUAUUUUUGAAGUAUAAUUGACAUACAGUAUCCUAUUAGCUUCAGGUUGUAUAUCAUAGUGAUGCAAUAUUUGGGUACACUAGGAAAUGAUCACUACAAUGUGUCUAGUUACCAUCUGUCACCAUACAAAGUUAUUACAGUAUUAUUGACUGUAUUCCGUACGCUGUACAUGACAUUCUCAUGACUUAUUAAUUUUAUAAGUGGAAGAUUGUGCCUCUUAAUCCCUUUCACCUAUUCCGACCAACCCCCAACCCCUCCCCACUCUGGUGACCACCAGUUUGUUUCCUGUAUCUAUGAGUCAGUUUCACUUUGUUUGCUUGUUUGUUUUGUUUUUUAGAUUCCACAUGUAAGUGGAAUCAUAUGGUACCUGUCUUUCUCUGUCUGACUUAUUUCACUUAGCGUAAUACCCUGUAGGUCC